rfam:Bibersteinia trehalosi TSDA-ARS-TSMARC-192, complete genome.
UCAUCAUCACCAUAUCCCUGAAUAAUCUUUCAGGCAUUUGGUGUGCUUGGAAGAUAUCUUCCGAGCAAUGUAACUCCAAAAGCAAUUACACCCCUCGGAAGGUCACUUUCGAGGGGUUUUUCUU